UUAGAGAGUACAUGAAGAGCGUUUUCUCGGAGAUCAGACCUUUGAAGUUCAAUAACAAGACGUUCCACAUACGCCAUCCUUUGGACAUUUUCACUAGUUUGAGUAGAAGCAUUGAGAGGAGCUACGAAAGACUCAUCGUUGUUGAUUGAGAACAAGCGAGAAGGAAAAUUUGCCAUCGAUUAGAUCUGAAAAAAAUGGUGCAAUAAGAUAUCAAUUUUAU
rnacentral:lncRNA from 1 species